rnacentral:rRNA from 1 species
UACGUAGGGUGCGAGUGUUGUCCGGAAUUAUUGGGCGUAAAGGGCUCGUAGGCGGUUUGUCGCGUCGGGAGUGAAACUCAGGGCUUAACCUGAGCCUGCUUCCGAUACGGGCAGACUAGAGGUAUGCAGGGGAGAACGGAAUUCCUGGUGUAGCGGUGAAAUGCGCAGAUAUCAGGAGGAACACCGGUGGCGAAGGCGGGACUCUGGGCCGAUACUGACGCUGAGGAGCGAAAGCGUGGGGAGCGAACAGG